rnacentral:tRNA from 1 species
CAAAUGGAAGCCCUCUGGUUUGGGUAAUUAGCUGUUAACUAAUUUUUGNGGGAUCAAGGCCCACCUAUUUG